CCAAUAGCGUAUAUUAAAGUUGUUGCAGUUAAAAAGCUCGUAGUUGAAUUUCGAGACUGGUUUACUGGUCGUGCUUUUGUACGUACUGGUAUUAUUGGUUUCUCCUUUCUGACGAAUCAUAAUGCCAUUAAUUUGGUGUUUUGGGGAAUCAGGACUGUUACUUUGAAAAAAUUAGAGUGUUUAAAGCAGGCUCACGCUUGAAUACAUUAGCAUGGAAUAA
rnacentral:rRNA from 1 species